AGCGUUGUUCGGAAUUAUUGGGCGUAAAGCGCGUGUAGGCGGUUUGUUAAGUCUGAUGUGAAAGCCCCGGGCUCAACCUGGGAAGUGCAUUGGAUACUGGCAGACUUGAAUACGGGAGAGGGUAGUGGAAUUCCUGGUGUAGGAGUGAAAUCCGUAGAUAUCAGGAGGAACACCGGUGGCGAAGGCGGCUACCUGGACCGAUAUUGACGCUGAGACGCGAAAGCGUGGGGAGCAAACAGGAUUAGAUACCCUGGUAGUCCACGCCGUAAACGAUGAGUACUAGGUGUCGCGGGUA
rnacentral:rRNA from 1 species